rnacentral:rRNA from 1 species
CCUACGUGAGGCAGCAGUGAGGAAUAUUGGUCAAUGGGCGCGAGCCUGAACCAGCCAAGUAGCGUGAAGGAUGACUGCCCUACGGGUUGUAAACUUCUUUUAUAAAGGAAUAAAGUGAGGCACGUGUGCCUUUUUGUAUUUACUUUAUGAAUAAGGAUCGGCUAACUCCGUGCCAGCAGCCGCGGUAAUACGGAGGAUCCGAGCGUUAUCCGGAUUUAUUGGGUUUAAAGGGAGCGGAGAUGGGUUGUUAAGUCAGUUGUGAAAGUUUGCGGCUUAACCGUAAAAUUGCAAUUGAUACUGGCAGCCUUGAGUACAGUUGAGGUAGGCGGAAUUCGUGGUGUAGCGGUGAAAUGCUUAGAUAUCACGAAGAAAUCCGAUUGCGAAGGCAGCCUACUAAACUGCCACUGACAUUGAUGCUCGAAAGUGUGGGUAUCAAACAGGAUUAGAUACCCCUGUAGUC